rnacentral:rRNA from 1 species
GAUGAACGCUAGCUACAGGCUUAACACAUGCAAGUCGAGGGGAAACGGCAUUGCGUGCUUGCACUCUUUGGACGUCGACCGGCGCACGGGUGAGUAACGCGUAUCCAACCUUCCCAUUACUGUGGGAUAACCUGCCGAAAGGCAGACUAAUACCGCAUAGUCUUCGAUGACGGCAUCAGAUUUGAAGUAAAGAUUUAUCGGUAAUGGAUGGGGAUGCGUCUGAUUAGCUUGUUGGCGGGGUAACGGCCCACCAAGGCUACGAUCAGUAGGGGUUCUGAGAGGAAGGUCCCCCACAUUGGAACUGAGACACGGUCCAAACUCCUACGGGAGGCAGCAGUGAGGAAUAUUGGUCAAUGGACGGAAGUCUGAACCAGCCAAGUAGCGUGCAGGAUGACGGCCCUAUGGGUUGUAAACUGCUUUUGUAUGGGGAUAAAGUUAGGGACGUGUCCCUAUUUGCAGGUACCAUACGAAUAAGGACCGGCUAAUUCCGUG